AUUGAACGCUGGCGGCAUGCCUUACACAUGCAAGUCGAACGGCAGCGGACCUUCGGGUGCCGGCGAGUGGCGAACGGGUGAGUAAUAUAUCGGAACGUACCUUUCAGUGGGGGAUAACGUAGCGAAAGUUACGUUAAUACCGCAUAUUCUGUGAGCAGGAAAGCAGGGGAUCGCAAGACCUUGCGCUGAUUGAGCGGCCGAUAUCAGAUUAGCUAGUUGGUGAGGUAAAGGCUCACCAAGGCGACGAUCUGUAGCGGGUCUGAGAGGAUGAUCCGCCACACUGGAACUGAGACACGGUCCAGACUCCUACGGGAGGCAGCAGUGGGGAAUUUUGGACAAUGGGCGCAAGCCUGAUCCAGCCAUGCCGCGUGAGUGAAGAAGGCCUCGGUU
rnacentral:rRNA from 1 species